CCGGUUCUAAAAUCAUAGCACUGAGGAAACGUGCCACGGCACACAGUUUGGGAACCGCUGGUCUAUACACAAAAAUUGAUUUAUUAAGUUGAUGUUGUUUUGGUGACUAUAGUGGCCCUUAAAAGGACAUUUUUUUUCUUAACCCCUUAAGGACGGCGGGUAUUCUAUGCUGUCCUUCUUGAAUCAGUCCUAAGCACCGGCGGGUGGCAUAGAAUGUCCCCGCCGUCCUUCAUACUUACCCGGUCCCUGCCGAUCCCACACCUGGGUCGCGAUCCUAGGGUCUGCCUGAUAGCUCAGUUCCCCUCAU